GGAGAUGUGGUUCAGUGGUAGAGUGCUUGUCUAGUAAGUAAUGGGGUCUUGGGUUCAAUUCCCAUCAGUGCAA
rnacentral:tRNA from 1 species